AAAUGUUUGAUGGAAUAAAUUGGACUGACUUCUGGGAGAGCAUACCACUGCACUGUGCUGUUCCUUUUGGCGAAAGUGGAGUCAUACUGCUUGGAGGAAGCCAUGUUGUGCACUGUAUGAAGAGGAAAUAUGGACUGUCGGUGACUAUAUAAGGAUAAAAACCUGGAUAAAGUUGAAAUUCUAAAUUUGGAAACAUUAACUUGGAGAACUGAGCAGGCCCUUCACUGAUACAAGCCCGCAAUAUAGUAUAACAAUGGAAUAACUUGAUGAUGGUAUUGCGGUGUUUGGAGGGAUUGGCGUGUUGGACAGCUUAGAGAAGUUUCAGGACAGGGGUUGAAGUCUUAGAUCUUUAAAUAAUUGAAUAUGCAUGGAGAACAUUUGUUUCUGUAACUAUUACUUGUUAAUCCUAAAAAAAGCUGGGGAAGGGGUGUUUAUCCGUAAACUUUUUUUUGAUUCACACUUCUAAUCUAAAUUCGACAGUUUUAAAAAAUAAAUAUUAAACAAUGUUUUUAUGUUCUUACUUGUAGAAAACAAAACGUUUAAUUUUUUACAUUUUACGACUUUUUUCCAUUUUUAUAUAAAACCUCCCUAGCACGCGAACCUUUAAAGAUUAGCAGUCUAGUUUUUGUAUCAAUGGCGCUGGCCUUGAAAGAUUAUUUCAACUCCAUGCCUUUUUCUAAUGGGGGGGGGGGUCCG